rnacentral:tRNA from 1 species
GGAGAGGUGUCCGAGUGGUCGAUGGUGCAUGCUUGGAAAGCAUGUGUGCAGCAAUGCACCGGGGGUUCGAAUCCCCCUCUCUCCG